rnacentral:rRNA from 1 species
GAUGAACGCUGGCGGCGUGCCUAAUACAUGCGAGUCGAGCGAACAGACGAGGAGCUUGCUCCUCUGACGUUAGCGGCGGACGGGUGAGUAACACGUGGAUAACCUACCUAUAAGACUGGGAUAACUUCGGGAAACCGGAGCUAAUACCGGAUAAUAUAUUGAACCGCAUGGUUCAAUAGCGAAAGACGGUUUUGCUGUCACUUAUAGAUGGAUCCGCGCCGCAUUAGCUAGUUGGUAAGGUAACGGCUUACCAAGGCGACGAUGCGUAGCCGACCUGAGAGGGUGAUCGGCCACACUGGAACUGAGACACGGUCCAGACUCCUACGGGAGGCAGCAGUAGGGAAUCUUCCGCAAUGGGCGAAAGCCUGACGGAGCAACGCCGCGUGAGUGAUGAAGGUCUUCGGAUCGUAAAACUCUGUUAUUAGGGAAGAACAAAUGUGUAAGUAACUAUGCACGUCUUGACGGUACCUAAUCAGAAAGCCACGGCUAACUACGUG